GAUGAACGCUGGCGGCGUGCUUAACACAUGCAAGUCGAACGUGAGAAUAGCAAUAUUUGAAAGUGGCAAACGGGUGAGUAACACGUGGGAACCUGCCUCGAAGUGGGGGAUAACGAUUGGAAACGGUCGCUAAUACCGCACGGUUCUGCUCUGAUGGGAAUGGAGCAGAUAAAGAUUUAUCGCUUUGAGAGGGGCCCGCGGCCGAUUAGCUAGUUGGUAAGGUAAAGGCUUACCAAGGCGAUUAUCGGUAGCUGGUCUGAGAGGACGAUCAGCCACACGGGAACUGAGACACGGUCCCGACUCCUACGGGGGGCAGCAGUGAGGAAUAUUGGGCAAUGGGCGAAAGCCUGACCCAGCAACGCCGCGUGGAGGAUGAAGGCUUUAGGGUUGUAAACUCCUUUUGUGGGGAAAAGAAUGGAUGGUACCCCAAGAAUAAGUCACGGCUAACUACGUG
rnacentral:rRNA from 1 species